UUUUGUUGGAAUCUACAGAAAAUCAUGGAAAUGAAAGGUAUCUGUGGCGAUACUAUAAUGAAGUCAGUUACUCUCCAGUUACUAGAAAGUCAGUGACUGUCAAAACAAUGUUCCUGAGCACAAGCACAAGCUGGGAGAGUUUCCCCUCUUGUGUAAAUGGCCUCCUAAAGGAGGAAGAGAAAAAAAGGAGAAAGCAAAGAGAGAAGAAGAGGAAGAGGAUGAAGGGAAGAAGGAAGACAAGGAGGAGAGGAAGUCAAGAAGAGGAAGAGGAGGAUGAGGAAGAGGAACAGGAAAGAUCAUUCCUUCACAGUCAUUUAAGGCUUAAAGUUUACCCAUAGUACCUGGUACACCAGUUUUCUUCUCAGAAAUCAAAUAUGCAUCUUAAAUAGUUUCUUUCUAGAGAGGGAGAGAGAAAGAAAGCUGGAUUGAUGAGGAGGUGGAGAGGAUCACAGAGGGGGGAAGAAAAAGAAAACUUUUUGCUUAUAGGAUCCUAAAAGAAUAUGAAGAGCAACUGGAAAAAUACCCCAACAUAGUCAGAAGAAGAUCAUGAGCCAUAGAAGUCCCAACUCUGCAUGUCUCAGCCUUAAGUAAUCCUUGAAUACUGCUCUUCAGUUGCCAUCAUCAAUAUUUACCACAACCAAAUUGUGUCACUGAUAAAAGAAAAAACAACCUACCAAACAGUCAGAAUUAAAGCAGCUGCAAUUUUUUCCCAAAGAAACCUGAUUUUACAUAAUUAAAAACAAAUAUUUUUCACAAAAA